rnacentral:piRNA from 1 species
UGAUGGUUGUAUUGUCGUUUGCAGCAAGCA